rnacentral:rRNA from 1 species
AGAGUUUGAUCCUGGCUCAGGAUGAACGCUGGCGGCGUGCUUAACACAUGCAAGUCGAACGAAGCACUUUGAUCGAUUUUUUCGGAUUGAAAUUUUAGUGACUGAGUGGCGGACGGGUGAGUAACGCGUGGGUAACCUGCCUCACACAGGGGGAUAACAGUUGGAAACGGCUGCUAAUACCGCAUAAGCGCACAGUACCGCAUGGUACAGUGUGAAAAACUCCGGUGGUGUGAGAUGGACCCGCGUCUGAUUAGCUAGUUGGCAGGGCAACGGCCUACCAAGGCGACGAUCAGUAGCCGACCUGAGAGGGUGACCGGCCACAUUGUGACUGAGACACGGCCCAAACUCCUACGGGAGGCAGCAGUGGGGAAUAUUGCACAAUGGGGGAAACCCUGAUGCAGCGACGCCGCGUGAGCGAAGAAGUAUUUCGGUAUGUAAAGCUCUAUCAGCAGGGAAGAAGAAAUGACGGUACCUGACUGAGAAGCACCGGCUAAAUACGUGCCAGCAGCCGCGGUAAUACGUAUGGUGCAAGCGUUAUCCGGAUUUACUGGGUGUAAAGGGAGCGUAGACGGCGCAGCAAGUCUGAUGUGAAAGGCAGGGGCUUAACCCCUGGACUGCAUUGGAAACUGCUGUGCUUGAGUGCCGGAGGGGUAAGCGGAAUUCCUAGUGUAGCGGUGAAAUGCGUAGAUAUUAGGAGGAACACCAGUGGCGAAGGCGGCUUACUGGACGGUAACUGACGUUGAGGCUCGAAAGCGUGGGGAGCAAACAGAAAGAGAUACCCUGGUAGUCCACGCCGUAAACGA